UACGUAGGGUGCGAGCGUUGUCCGGAAUUAUUGGGCGUAAAGAGCUCGUAGGCGGUCUGUCGCGUCGAAUGUGAAAACCCGGGGCUCAACUCCGGGCUUGCAUUCGAUACGGGCAGGCUAGAGUUCGGUAGGGGAGUCUGGAAUUCCUGGUGUAGCGGUGAAAUGCGCAGAUAUCAGGAGGAACACCGGUGGCGAAGGCGGGACUCUGGGCCGAUACUGACGCUGGGGAGCGAAAGCGUGGGGAGCGAACCGG
rnacentral:rRNA from 1 species